UACUAGACACACAGAAAACAUGAUUAGACUCUGAAAGCCAAUCCUGGGCAAGAAUGAACGUCCCCAUCAAGACCUGCCCUUUGUGACCCACACCACAGCCGCGAAAUAAGACUCUUCCCUAAAUCAUCUUUAAGGCUCUGGGCUAUGCAGCUGGCCCCCUUGGGUUUAAGACUUCAAAACCCACGCUAUGCCUUCACCUCUCGGAGCCUCAUGUUCGCAUUUCUCCUCUGGAAAGUCAAGCCAAGGACUUAUUGGAUUGAAUAGGGGGGUUAUGCCAUUUCUGGUACUCAGCGUUUAAAGAAUAUUCGAGAGAUUUCCUUUAUGAGAGGCCAAAGGAGUGAAUGGAGUCAAGAGUUAGAGAUCACCUCUCUCGGCAGUCGGAGGCCUGGGGCCUACACUAGGCUUGCCCUACAUCACGUGAAAGCAGAGAUCGGCUCCGCUCCGGGUGUGCCAAGCAAGAAAGGGCCCACGGCUUGGUCUUGUUCGCUCCGUUUGCUCUGCUCGCGUGGGUCGACCGGACACGUGUGCGGUGCGGCACCAGCCGGGGCAGACUUUUCCUGGUCUCAGUUGCUGCGACGCUCCCCGCCCCCCCUCACUCCGGAGGCCCGGGACGAAAGUGCUCCGGCCUACCCCAAACCCCGGGACCGGCCGCUUUAGGGCGGCCUCCAUUUCAUCUCCCCCAACCCCAGCUGCGGUCCCAAGACCGACAGUCCCUUGUCGACACGCGUCAGCGCCUGAUGGAGACCAGCUCGCCCUCACCUCAUGGCUGCGGCCGCAGCAGCGAAAGGAAAGAGCUCGCUCGGGCCCGGCUCCUCCCAUUAUCUGCGAAGGGGAGAGCCCAAACCCUGCUCCAAUUUCGUCCGUAUUCCUGUCCGGUUCUUUCAUCUUCUGCCACACUAAACUCACUCAUAGCCUCCAUAUAGGCCUGAAAUGAUAAAAGUCAAAUAUCAGAAA